GACGAACGCUGGCGGCGUGCUUAACACAUGCAAGUCGAACGGAAAGGCCCUGCUUUUGUGGGGUGAUCGAGUGGCGAACGGGUGAGUAACAGGUGAAUAACCUGCCCUUGUCUUUGGGGUAACUUCAGGAAGCUGGGGCUAAUCCCGGAUAGGAGCUCCUGCUGCAUGGUGGGGGUUGGAAAGUUUCUGCGGGUGGGGAUGGACGGGCGGCUUAUCAGCUUGUUGGUGGGGUAGUGGCUUACCCAGGGUUUGGCGGGUCGCCGGCCUGAGAGGGUGACCGGCGACAUGGGGACUGAGAGACGGCCCAGACUCCUACGGGAGGCAGCAGUGGGGAAUAUUGCACAAUGGGCGGAAGCCUGAUGCAGCAACGCCGCGUGCGGGAUGACGGCCUGCGGGUUGUAAACCGCUGUCGCCUGUGACGAAGCGUGAGUGACGGUAAUGGGUAAAGAAGCACCGGCUAACUACGUG
rnacentral:rRNA from 1 species